rnacentral:lncRNA from 1 species
GAACUACUCCUCUCCCCAAGCUCUUCUAAAUGUAUUGUCAUUUUUUCUUUUUCUAGCAAACUAGAAAAAUGGUCCAACUUGUCACUAUCCUCAAGUGCUUCAACUCUACUAGAAAAUGGAAAGGUAAUGAAAAAAUAAGCAUGAGCUGGAGCUGUAUUUCAGUGAAAUUAUCCCAAAUGAGAGAAAGCAGAAGAUGUUACAUUUGAUGCUGUGUAGAAAAGAGAGGCAACUGACAGACAAACAAGGUUGGUUCCCCUAGGAAAAAAAAAAUAGAAUCAAACCCAUCAAGGAAUGGACAGAAGUCUGUAAGGGCCACAGGCAGGAAGAGACCAAUUUUCUGAAAUACAUUUCAUGUUCAAUUAACUACUCUCAGAUUAGGAUGCUGAAUAUAUCCAAUAUACACAAGUUAGGUGAGUAAAAUUCAAUGAGGAUGUUUCUGAAUGUUUAUACAGAGGAAUUUACAAAUGAACAAAUUCAAAAUCGAUUUCAUACCAUCAAAGGAUUAUCCUCUGGAUGUGGAAGUGAAACUGGAAUGGCAUAAAGGUUAGCCAAUUCCCUUCAUUUCUGCCAAUAAGCACUACUUCUCAGCCAUCAGAACCCCAAGGGUGCCUGCCUCUGGGCUUCAGCUUACAUAGAAAUUGUCAAGUUGGUGCUUUUUGAA